UACGACAAUAUAAGGUUGAAACACCGGCUCCCGUACGAUCACUUAAGUUAAGCAACAUCGAAUCUGGUUAGUACCAAGAUGGAUGAUCUUUUGGGGAUACCAGGUGCU